rnacentral:rRNA from 1 species
UACGUAGGGUGCGAGCGUUAAUCGGAAUUACUGGGCGUAAAGCGUGCGCAGGCGGUUAUUUAAGUCAGGGGUGAAAGCCCUGGGCUUAACCUAGGAAUUGCGCUUGAGACUGGAUAGCUUGGAGUGCGGCAGAGGGAGGUGGAAUUCCACGUGUAGCAGUGAAAUGCGUAGAUAUCGGGAGGAACAUCUGUGGCGAAGGCGACACCCUGGACCAGCACUGACACUGAGGCACGAAAGCGUGGGGAGCAAACAGG